GAACUUCCAUGACAAUACGUUGCUUUGUGUUGUUGUUGAAGGUGUGUUGUUGUUGAACCAUUAGGGGUUUAUUGAACAUGCAGAACUUCCAUGACAAUACGUUGCUUUGUGUUGUUGUUGAAGGUGUGUUGUUGUUGAACCAUUAGGGGUUUAUUGAACAUGCAGAACUUCCAUGACAAUACGUUGCUUUGUGUUGUUGUUGAAGGUGUGUUGUUGUUGAACCAUUAGGGGUUUAUUGAACAUGUUGGAUGACAUGUUUUUGUUGUUCUUGCCGUAAACACCAAAGAAUCAUAAGAAUAUCACAGUGUCUUGAGUUUCAAGCAGAAAGAACAUAAUCUGUUGUGUAAGCGAUAACAAAGACUACCAAGAUGUACGUUCCUGUACAUUUGUACGCGUUCAAAUCUGGCUAGAUGGCUAACUGUUCUAUUUUAUUUUGAUACUAAAGACAGGGUGCUUGUGAAAAUGCGUUACUGCGUUUUAUACUCUGAUCACGAUCGGUAGACUGUAGUUGAAUAGUUGUGUUGAUGUGCCUACUGUAGACCAAAAAUAGCUUUUCUAAAGAAAUUCAGCAAAACAGAAAAAAUAAAUCUGACACGUAGUAGCUGGGAUGUAAAACUAUAGCAUGUUAUUACAUGAAUAAGAUUUUAAAUGUUGCAUUGUUCCUCUGCUUAAAAGUAAUACCCAAUAUCUAUUAGUUAUUUUUCUCUACAUACUCUCAGCUAAUUGAUUUAGGCCUUUCCAAUACGCAUUUGAUUUGGUUUGAUUCAUAUGUUUGUCUUUGUUUGAUCCGUUCGUCUGCUAUUCCAGUUUUCAGUAAUUGAUUUCUUCCUGCCAUAUUGUUGAUUUCAAAAGCUUUUAUUCUCUAAUAAACAAAAUGCACUGGAUUGGUGGAAAACUGAUACUCAACUGAAGUGCCAUGCACAAUUGAUCAAUUGGCCUGACUAAUAUUCAAAAGACAAAUGUCUCAAAAAGUUUUUCAAACAUAUAGUGGAAGAUCCAUAGCGAAUUUAUACCGUUUUUUUUUUCAUACUUUGAGAUGGACCAAGAUGCUAGUUGCUUUUGCACAUAUUUGUUUAUUGGUUUUGCAAUGUGUUGAUGCCAUUGAGUAAAAGAUUAGGAAGAUUAAAUUUACCGCUGCCCAUAACAACCAAUCCAAGUAACGCAAAGAGGCCUAAAUCUGAUUUAAAGGCCUUUAAAAUAAAAACAAAUGUUCCACAAUACGAUAUUAGUACAUUUUGAUGGCUACCCUAGAGCCUGCUACAGAUACAUUCUUCCCAGAGAGCAUGAAGCCCAAUAGCCAGCAGACAUUUGAUGAAUAAUCACUGCAAAAACAACAAUACAGUGUAAUAAUAUUCACAUGAAUUGAGUUGUAUUAACAUCUUAAAGAUGUGGACCAAAUUUCUUAUCAGUUGGUGGCAUACGUGAUAUCGAUUACUACAUGAUAUAUUUUCUGUCAUAUUAAUUGUUCAUAUCAAAGAAGAAUGUAACAACCCCUUGGGAUUUUUUUUGUGGUUGUUAAUAUUUCACGUAUUGAUGAGGUAUGGCCUUUUGAAGCUUGUUUUCGAGCUGGAAGUUCGAAAUAGGAUCCGAUCCGUAACUCGUGUCAUGCUUCUUUAGUGUAGUAGUGUCAUAACGUCAGCGUCUCCCAUAGGACAUUGUAAGAUCCCCCUCAGUGAUAAAUCAGACAUUCAGUGUGCACUCGAAGUGUAGGUUUUUUAAACAGACAGUCAAGCUUUUUUGGAAAAAAAUGCACCUGCAGUCAAAUGUGAGGGGCAUUUAUAUAUACACAUGUAUUUAGUUAAGAAUAUUUUGUUUUUAGGUUUUGUUGCCUGCUUUGGCUUGCGAUUUCUUUAUCUUCCUGAUCAAAUACUCCUUAUAUAUUAAAAUAAUGAACUUGGCAGAAGUGGAGCUGUUGUAGUACAGGUAGUUAACAUCACAAUUAAGGAACCCUGCUGCAGUAAUGUUGUUUUGUCAGUUUUGUUUUCUUUUAUGUGUGCUCCUAGUUGGUUUUUAUUUUUAUUACUGUUAUGAAACAACCUUGUUUGAAUUGUAUGACUGCUGUUUUGAAAUAGGUGAUACGUAAAAAAAGAAAAAAAAAUGUAAUGUAUGUACAAGGAAGUUUUAUAAUUUGACUUGUCAAACACUGGACUGAGUUUUCCAACAUUUCCAAGUUGAGAGCUAUUAUAUGAGAGACAUUAACCGACUGCACAGAAUAAAGCCUUAUCACACCCAUUAACUGACAGAUGAAGCAUGUCCACACUGCUGGAGAAGGAAUAGUGACACCAUUUUUUUUAAUGGAAAUUGCUAAUUAUAUUUGCACCAUUUUAAUUAAGUUCAAUAAGGUGCUGAAUAUAUCUGCUAAAUUGUUGCAUUUUGUCAGGCUUAUUCAAAUUUGUCCGUCAUUAUUAUACAAUAACAAUUUCAAAAUUCUCUGUUCUAACGAAAGACUGUUCUAAUAAGUAUAUGCUGAAAUAUCAAAAGGGAUACCACUUAAUAGCAAUUCAAUAAUCAAACUAAACCACUCAGUAUAUGUCGUCUUAAUGUUAAAGUCUUUUGCAGAGUCAACUACCACUUAUCAAACCAGAAAAGAGAUUUGCACUAAUCAUAUUUAGGUCUUUGUUGAUGGAAAGCAAUACAACACAGAACAUUUGACACAUUCUUCAAGCCACAGUAUUUGAAAUAAAAGCGCUGUCUGUGUACAGGUGUAAUGCUGUGUAAAAGGUUAUGUUUUAAACGUUUUUUUUUAUUAAAAAAAAAAAGAUUUUUGUUUAAAGGUACAGAAUGGAAACCUGUUGUCUUUGAGACACAUUAUGAACUUGGACACGCACAUAUUGUUGUUUAGAGUUGACAUGUUUGACCAAUCAGACGUUCUGUUUCCUCUUGUGAUUGUUUUGGACUAAAUGAAAUUGCUCUUACAAGCCCUAAGUGAGGGACAGGAAGGAGUUGAGAGUCACAAGAUGUCCCAUAAACAUGCACUCAUUGUAAAAUGUCCUCAUCAGAAAAAGAUGGUGGUAACGGAACCAAAGGUAAUAAAAGUUUAUGUUAUGUAGACAAUAUUUUCUUUCAAAUGAUGCCAACAUAACACAUUAAACUUCCUCCAUGUUAAAACAUUCAAUUUCUUCACUGAUUUACUUAUUUUUCUGUUUUAAAACACUCAUAUGUAAAGAUCUGAGGUCAGGUCGGAGUACAUCUUUCUGGGACAUUAUUGAUAACAUUUUUGAAAAUGGGAGAAAAAAAAGACUACAACAUUUCUGUAGAAAAACACUGAUGGAUGGGAAAUACCUCUUUCCCUGUCAAUUUUAACAUCAGUUUAGUCAUCCAACAAAUCAAAGUCCACCCAAACAUAUUAGAAUUCAUAAUUAUCCGUAAGGAAAUAGACAUCAAGAGUAGUGGGGUGAAAUAUUGUUGAAGUCGAAAUGUUCUCUAUUGAUAAUUAUAAACCAUCAAUCAUUUAUGAUAGCAAUCAUGAUAAUUAUAAUUUUUGGUAUCUGGGAAUAGUAGCUUUCCUGUUAUAACCGCUUUGUGGUGUUAUUGAAAGAUGUUGCAGUUUGUCUAAAUAUGAAGCAUAAGUAUGUGCCUUCUUGUAAUCUCCUUGGUGAGCUUGUUAUUAUUGAGAAGCUGAAGCCAGCCAAUAGUGUUUGCACUAAAGCCAAAUUGCUUUUGUGAUGUAGGCUAUUUAAGCAAGCUUGUUGCAUCACUUUAACCGUACAGUAUGCAUGAGGGUGAAAUUGGUAAGUUCUACGGCUAGCGCUCCCAUCUGUUGGUCUGUUAACUAGUGCAGCUUAGUGAAUACCCCGACUAUAUAUCAGCUUUGUACUGCGUUCCGUUUUUGAUUCCAUCUCAUUCAUUACUCUUCUAAUUUCUCAAGACGCAUGUUCCACAUGAAAUAACCUCUGUGGAAUAUCCAUACUCUAAAAGACAAAGCAAAUGACAUAAGAAAUCAAACACGGCUCUCCUUUUUCUUUUUCAUAUGCCACAGCUGAAGAGCUGCAUUACUAGUAGUAAGAGAUAUUCAACCAUUCUCUCAACCCACGGGGAUGCAUGAGUACAAGAGGCUACUUCGAGACUUGGUCAACUUUAUUUUGAUUGUUUAAAAAAAAAAAGUUUGUGUUUCUAAGUUAUUUUAGUCAGUUUGAAAUCAUAAGAGAAAUAAAUAGCUACAUGCUUUGAGUCUUACAAAUGCACCUUUAUUCAUGUCAGUCUGAGUGGAAAAGGCUGGUUAUGUAAUAUGUCUGAUUUAGCACCUUACUACACAGCAUGUUUUCACUAUAUGCCAGUUUUGCUACUCUUCCGUGCAUAUGAUUUCCAAAACAAACCUUAUAUAUUUUGUGAAAAUGUUUAAAGGGAUGUGCCAAAGUUAGGAGGCGAUCUCCCGAGUGUUUAAAGCUUAUAAUCUUUUUCUUUCUUCCUCCUUCAGUUAUCACAAUGGUAUGUCAGACCUUUCCUAUCAAUGUGUGAAAGCAAGUUAUUUCAGCAAACAGUAUCAUUACCUGCCAUUUUACAGUAAGCCCUGUAUGUCACGUAUAUUUACCAGUGAUGUGUAUUUGUUAUUAUAAAGAAAAAUAGCCGUAAAGCUUCAUUAUGUUACAUAAUAUUGUGACUUUUUUCGAAAAACUGUGAAGACUUAUCUUGCAUAUACUUUAUACAGAAGUAUUAAGCCUUAAUACAAAAUACUAAAAAAAAGUGUGGAAGAAUAAACUGAUUGUCGCUAAGUAAGGAUGAUUUUUUGUAAAUGUUACCAGCACUUUUUUUGUAAUUUUCACUCUCUGAGGUAUUGUACAAGUUCACGCUGUUUGUGAAGUUUGAUUAUGAAGGAAUAAAAAACUAGUACUUUCCUGUACUUCACAGAAA